rnacentral:rRNA from 1 species
GACGAACGCUGGCGGCGUGCCUAAUACAUGCAAGUAGAACGCUGAAGAGAGGAGCUUGCUCUUCUUGGCUGAGUUGCGAACGGGUGAGUAACGCGUAGGUAACCUGCCUUGUAGCGGGGGAUAACUAUUGGAAACGAUAGCUAAUACCGCAUAACAAUGGAUGACCCAUGUCAUUUAUUUGAAAGGGGCAAAUGCUCCACUACAAGAUGGACCUGCGUUGUAUUAGCUAGUAGGUGAGGUAACGGCUCACCUAGGCGACGAUACAUAGCCGACCUGAGAGGGUGAUCGGCCACACUGGGACUGAGACACGGCCCAGACUCCUACGGGAGGCAGCAGUAGGGAAUCUUCGGCAAUGGGGGCAACCCUGACCGAGCAACGCCGCGUGAGUGAAGAAGGUUUUCGGAUCGUAAAGCUCUGUAGUAAGUCAAGAACGAGUGUGAGAGUGGAAAGUUCACACUGUGACGGUAGCUUACCAGAAAGGGACGGCUAACUACGUG